rnacentral:rRNA from 1 species
UACGUAGGGGGCUAGCGUUGUCCGGAAUCAUUGGGCGUAAAGCGCGUGUAGGCGGCCCGGUAAGUCCGCUCUGAAAGUCCGGGGCUCAACCCCGGGAGGCGGGCGGAUACUGUCGGGCUAGAGUCCGGAAGAGGCGAGUGGAAUUCCUGGUGUAGCGGUGAAAUGCGCAGAUAUCAGGAGGAACACCAAUGGCGAAGGCAGCUCGCUGGGACGGUACUGACGCUGAGGCGCGAAAGCGUGGGGAGCAAACAGG